rnacentral:other from 1 species
AAGUGCCUGCCUUGUUUGUGACUGGAUGAAAAUCUUGAACCUUCAAUUAGAUAUUUUAGGGAGCCGCAGUAAGGUGCGUGUGUGCGCCCCGGAAAACCGGGAGACAAAGCCUAAUCUCACCUUCAAGGCACCCACCUAUGAAAAUAGGGUUUCAAGUUUUCUCUCUCCACGGCAAGGCGGGUCUUAU